rfam:Ciona intestinalis ciona0217, whole genome shotgun sequence.
GGCGCCGUGGCAUAGUGGUUAGCGCGUCUGCCUGAAACCCAGAGGUAAUGGGUUCAAGGCUCGUCGCUGCUA